AUUCCCUGGGAUUCUUCUUAAAAUGCAGAUCCUGAUUCAGUAGUUCUGGGAGGGGCCCAAGAUUCUGCAUUUCUAACAAGCUCCCAGGUGAUGCUGA
rnacentral:pre_miRNA from 1 species